rnacentral:misc_RNA from 1 species
UCCCCGUUUUCCGGGGCAGUCCCUGUAGAGUUCCCGGCAUGACCCGCUGGCAACUACAGGCAAGGGUUGCGCUCGUUGCGGGACUUAACCCAACAUCUCACGACACGAGCUGACGACAGCCAUGCAGCACCUCUACCGAUGUCCCUUGCGGGAGGACCCCAUCUCUGGGGAUUUCAUCGGCGGUUCAAACCCAGGUAAGGUUCUUCGCGUAGCAUCGAAUUAAACCACAUGUUCCACCGCUUGUGCGGGUUCCCGUCAAUUCCUUUAAGUUUUAAUCUUGCGAUCGUACUACUCAGGCGGAGCGCUUAACGCGUUAGCUACGACAUCGAGGAAACCCCAACAUCUAGCGCUCAUCGUUUACUGCGUGGACUAC